UGUUUUUUGAGAUGGUAUUUGGAACAUGACUGAACGUUCUUUCCUUUCUUAAGAUACUAGACUGAGCGUAUUUAGACUAUUUCCAGUAAUCACGUAGAACUCACUCAAUUGGCUAGUUACUGUUGUUGUUCGUCUGAUCAAGUAAACCCAUUAUUAGAGACAUUCCAACAGCGAGCGUUUUGUGCAAGGAAUCUGAGAUCACAUUAUCCAAGUACUUUUUUUAAAGACAGUAAGCGAUAAUCUGAAGGGGAUUUGGCUGCUAUUUCUAGCAAGUUGAUAAAAAACGUAGACGUUCCUCGCUGGCUGAUGGAAGUGUGUGGUAUCCUAAUAAUAUGGCGUACGAAGUUCCUAAAUCUGAAACGACUUCCGUUUGUAAUUUAGCUUACUGCUUAAAUUGAUCUUGUAUAAAAUCUUUUACCAAACAAGUACAAUGCAGGAAUACUUAUAUUUAAACAAGGCGACUUUCGGAAUAGAUGUGACACAUAAAUCAGAAUUUCUCCGCCACAUUCUAUCUCACGCUCUUAAAACUACAAACUAUACAUUAUUUAUUACAUAAAAUCAUAAAAAAAUGUUGGUAGGAGAUAAGCGAAAAUAUGUCCGCGAGUCCUUAAUGAGACUACGUAUUCUUGCAGUGGAUGCCAGCAAGGAAGAAAUUUCGACGGCUUGAUAUUAGUUGUGCUUUAUUUACACGUCACACUCCUCAUGCACAUGGAGAAAUAUUUGAAGAUAGUUUCGCGAUCUUCCUUCUGUUAAUGAACUUAUGUUUAAAAAAUAGCUUGAAUGUAUGUAGUUUAUUUUUUGUGGUUUAAAACAUGGAAUUGCAUUAUUAAAUAUAUGUUCUUGAGAGAUUUAUAAACAAAAGUAUUCAGUGCUAAAUAUGUAGGUAGGAAAACACCCAACUAUUUACUCAACACACGAGCGAUAUUUCGAAAUAAGUGCGUAAAAUGGUAGACAAAAGAACGAUGUAUGUUUAUUGCUAAUAAUAAAGUGAGAACACUAAA